ensembl:lncRNA
CGUUUUUUUGCAGAUUGUUCUUGGAGAGCUUCAGUGCUCAGUACUUAGUAUAAUAAAUAAGAUGGGCCCUUAGGGCAUAAUAAUUAACCUAACAAAUGUUUAAGAAAGAUUUUUAACAAGUAAGAGCAGGUCUUGUCACUUCAAUGGUGUAAGAGAUUAUUCUUUUGCACUAUUGUCUCAAAGUUUGCUGAGGAACACUGAUGGACACAUCCUGGGCAAGGGCUGAGAAAUCUUUUGUCUGAAGGACACAGACGGUAAAGUCCGGACAAGUCCUUGUCAAAGUUGGCGAAAUCUUUUGUCUGAAGAUUUUACAAGCCAGGGGCAACGAGAGAGAGAUAAAUCGCAGCUUAAUGGCCGGGAAGCAGUCUUUUGUGUGGGUUUAUCUCGAGGGAUAUAGCCAUCUCGGGGGGGUACUGCACAUGGCUCUUACCCAAGCUUCUGCCACACUGGCAGAAGAAGAAGGAUAAAAAGGGGGCCAACAACCAAGAGAUUAGGUGUCAGACAUCAGAAGCCUUACGAGCUGAUGCCUGAAAGCUGAAGGACUCUCUUCUGGACCUGCUACCUGAGAUCUGCUGCUUCCUCCUGGACUUACCCAGCUGCUUGUUCCUGGCACCUGCUUGCAGCUUAAAGCCUGUCACGCUGCUGCUGCUCUCCCCCUGCGCUUUUGCCUCGGACAAUCGGAACAACAUACAACGGGACGCUGCUGGAUCUUGGUGCCUUCGAACUUCUUCCCCACAUGUCCCAGAAGAGGGAAGCGUGGUGCGAGGGGAAGCCCUGUCACUGUUGAUAUAAUCAAGUAAACAGCAACAAUGUGAUAAUACAAGAGAAAUGCAGAGGACUGGUAUUUUGUUUAGUGUCAGUGUGAGGACAAUGUUGGUAAUCUCUUUCAAAUUCUUUUCAAUAAAAACAAUCAACUAUUUGCAGGAAUAUUUGCCCUCUUGAUUUAGUGCAUGGUUCCCAGCUUAGAAUGCAGUUACAAAAUAUCUCUUUAAAAAAUAAUUCUUUAACAUCUGUAUUUUUAUAUGUAGUUGUUCUGAGUUUUAAAAUAUGUUCUGAUAAAGGAUCAUCCAGAUAUCUCUAAUAUCUGGUGACAAAAUUUUGUGCCAUAGCAUCAGUCAAAAUGAGACUCAGUCAAAACGUGACUCAGACAAAAUGUUUUGGUGUUGUAUCUACCAUAACACUGAUGAUAGAUGAGAAUUUUCUGUAUUUUGUCAUAUGGGCACAUAAAUCAUAAAAUAUGUCUUUAUACAUAUCAUGUUAUUUAGUGCACAUUUUCACCAACUACACCACAUGAUGCAAAGACGUUGAUACCAUACAUUUUCUGCAUUCUGUAGGCAUGGAGGAGUAUAAGAAGUUUGAUAGACAGCUAAGGAACAGGAGUCUCCUACAUCAGGAAGGAUACACACCUUGUAUACCAUCAUUUUUAGCACAUAUAUCUUCCUUAUAAGACAUGCACUCUAAAAAUUUGAAAUUUUGGCUUUGAUUCAGCAGUCAUUUGCUACUGACAGGGAUCUUGAACAAUACACCAGUCAACAAGUAGCAAUUCAAGUGCCCAGAAAUCUUAGACUGUGGGUAAUUUUACCAAUAAGUAAGCGAUGAUUUUAAAAAGCUAGAAGGAGACUUGGUAAUUCCCAAUACAUGUGAUGAUCUGAGCCUUAUGACUAGUCUUAUGUUAGCUUACAGUGAAGGAGAGAUUUCCCAGAGGUUUAUUGUUGUGGUUUAACCCAGCAGGUGGCUGAGCUUCAUGCAGUUGCUUGCUCACUCACUCCCCCUUUCCAAGUGGAAUGGGGGAGAGAAUCAGGAAAAAAAAAAAAAAAAAAAAAAGUAGAACUUAGUACAAAAAAAAGUAGAAUAAUGUACAGUACAGCUAAUUUUCAGAUGUCUGCUAACAUUUAAUUUAAAGCUUCACCAUUACUUUGUUUUUAUACAUCUUGUGUAAUCAUUUGACAAUUUUUUGAAAUGGUAGAUUAAUAUUAGUACGAAUGAGCUAGCAAGCUGUCCAAGGGUAAGUAGAAAGCAGAGGAAUGAGAAAGCCUGCUUAUGAAUAGUAAGCAAAAUAAAAACAAGUCAUGGUAAAGGAUUUAUUUAUUUUUUUUCUUUAAUAUUGCAUUGUAUAUAUUAACUGUGAAGCAAAUGACUGGAAAACAACAGUGAGCUAUUCAUGGUAUCAUGCUAAACUACGGUAAAAAAUAAGCAUGUUUCCUAUUUAAAUGUUGAAGGUUUGAACAUUAUCUUUUAUUCUUCUCUGCGGUGGCAUGCAGAUCAAAAGAUGACAGUCACGUAGUAAAAUGCAUAUUUAUUAAUUUACAUUGUAGUAAUUUAAGCAAUUGUCGAAUAAUUUAGAUGUCUUGCAUAUAUUUACCUUCAUAACUGGGUUCUGAAAAUAAGAAGGCUAUAUUUGAACAGACUAUCAUGAAUGUGAAAAUAUAUUCCCAAAAAUAAGCAAAUUCAAGAAGAUUAUAUUGGUUUUGGUUUGCUUUGUUGUUUUAUUAUUUUAUCUUACUUUUUAAUUCAUCCUACCCGCAUAAGUGCCUAAGGAGAAUAUGCAGAGUCAUGUGCACUCCCUAACAGAUGCCUCCUAUUUUAAACACCACUGCCUAAUUAGAUGAGAACUGCACAAGGCAAAAUAGCAGAACCUGCAAGCAGAAUGAGGAACAUGUGGGAUUUACAUUUUUCAUUAGUCCAAAUCUGCACAUCCACUAACUCAAACAUUUUUGACCACAAGAUUAAAAAUCAGAAAAAUAUGAAAGAGUUAAGAGUUAGCAAAGGUAUCAGAGAUGAAUAUGAGGGCCUCAUCAGAGGCUGCCCAUUCCUAUUUCUGUUCUUUCUGCAGGUUGCUCUAAAUGCAUCUUGCUUGGUUCCCGACAGUGUUGUUCUCACUGAUGGAGAGUGAAGCCAGAAAGAAUAACCCUAAGGACAGUCACCCUAUUCCAGAAGAGAAAAAGAGUGUAAUGGACAAGGAGACUGUUCCCCCUCUGAUGAAAGGUCUAAUAUUUGAGCAGAAGACAGUUACAUGAAACAGAAGCAACAUUCAUUUACAACUUAUAUGAACCUGGAUCCUCUUAUACCUGAUGUAAAAGUAUGCAAUGAGUACUUUUCCUCAUGAGUUAAUUAUUGAUCUUUGAUGAUAUACAAAGUACUUAAGCAAGCUGUGUGGGUAAAUGUCUUCUGCCUCCCUUAAUUCAACUGCUCUAGAGAGCACAUAACCAUGUGAUUGCAUUCAAACAAACAUCUUAAUGAAUAUAAAAGCUGUCAAACCAUGUCUAUAGUAUCAGAGGCAUUUCUGAAUAUAACAAAACAUGAAUAACUUUAGGUAAUGUAAAUAUAUGUCACUAAUGUAUAUUACUGCAGGAGUCAUUAAUUAUAUGAGUGUUGUGAACACAGUCAUAAUUACAGUCUCUAAAUUUUGUUGUACUUUCAGUGAUACCACUGUUAAAAUUUGGGACUAUUGGUUUAUCUUCAGAACAAUUUGUGCAAGGCAAAUAAAAUUAAUGUAAAAAUUUUCAUUGUGCUAUUUUCAAAAAUCACUCCUUGUGAUUCAUAGGACCUAGAUAAACAUAUUACUGUUGAAAAUACUCACCCAUUCCAUAUAUAUAAUUUUAUGCUAGAUUUUUUUCAAACUAUUCAUUUUUGAGAUGUCAUGUCAAGUAUUGAGAACAUAUUAAAAUAGUAAUAUAAUUUUUAAAUAAAAAAAU